GCAGCCGCGGUAAUACGGAGGAUGCAAGCGUUAUCCGGAUUUAUUGGGCGUAAAGCGUUCGUAGGCGGUUUUAUAAGUCUGCUGUCAAAGUGCGGAGCUCAACUCCGUAAGAGCAGUGGAAACUGUGAGACUAGAGUGUGGUAGGGGUAGAGGGAAUUCCCAGUGUAGCGGUGAAAUGCGUAGAUAUUGGGAAGAACACCGGUGGCGAAAGCGCUCUACUGGACCACAACUGACGCUGAGGGACGAAAGCUAGGGGGGCGAAAGGGAUUAGAUACCCCUGUAGUCCUAGCCGUAAACGAUGAACGCUAGGUGUUGUCUGUAUCGACCCGGACAGUGCCGAAGCAAACGCGUUAAGUGUUCCGCCUGGGGAGUACGCACGCAAGUGUGAAACUCAAAGGAAUUGACGGGGGCCCGCACAAGCGGUGGAGUAUGUGGUUUAAUUCGAUGCAACGCGAAGAACCUUACCAAGGCUUGACAUGCCUCGAAUCCUUCAGAGAUGAGGGAGUGCCUACGGGAGCGAGGACACAGGUGGUGCAUGGCUGUCGUCAGCUCGUGUCGUGAGAUGUUGGGUUAAGUCCCGCAACGAGCGCAACCCUCGUUUUUAGUUGCCAGCAUUAAGUUGGGCACUCUAGAGAGACUACCGGUGAUAAACCGGAGGAAGGUGGGGACGACGUCAAGUCAUCAUGCCCCUUAUGUCUUGGGCUACACACGUACUACAAUGGUCGGGACAACGAGCAGCCAACUCGCGAGAGUGCGCUAAUCUCUUAAACCCGGCCUCAGUUCAGAUUGCAGGCUGCAACUCGCCUGCAUGAAGGAGGAAUCGCUAGUAAUCGCAGGUCAGCAUACUGCGGUGAAUCCGUUCCCGGGCCUUGUACACACCGCCCGUCACACCGUGGAAGUUGGCCACGCCCGAAGUCGUUACUCUAACCUUUCGAGGGGGAGGGCGCCGAAGGCAGGGCUGAUGACUGGGGUGAAGUCGUAACAAGGUAGCCGUACCGGAAGGUGUGGCUGGAUCACCUCCUUACAGGGAGACCUAACCCAUAACACGAGACAGUGGUGAGAGGAGUUGAGGAAUCAACGAAUCAAAUUGCAACUAAUUAAGUCAGUGAUUAUGAGGUCUACUCUAGGUCGUGCAGGAACCGAGUCAAGCUUCUAAAUGAUGGGGUGAUGGAUUGUUAUCCGAGAGUAGAGGAAGUCUGGAAGUUGUGAGAGCAGUGGAGAGUCUUCUAAUACUUGUGGAUUAUGGGCUAUUAGCUCAGGUGGUUAGAGCGCACCCCUGAUAAGGGUGAGGUCCCUGGUUCAAGUCCAGGAUGGCCCACUGAUUCGAUAAAGAAUCUAACUUGGAAUGGGGGUAUAGCUCAGUUGGUAGAGCGCCUGCUUUGCAAGCAGGACGUCAGCGGUUCGAGUCCGCUUACCUCCACCAACACCACUAAACGACUAAUGAACUAAGUUCAGCACUAAUGAGGCAAGUAGUCUAGCGAGGUAGUAGUACCAGCCUAAGACUAUAGAUAAUUCAUUAACUGCUGGGUUUACUCAGCGAGAACCAUGAAAACUGCAUAGUAAAAGUUGUGUAAAGCUGAAAAGUGUCAACUACGGCAACGAACCUCCCUGCUGAUUGUAGAGAGCGGAGUUGUGAGAAGUUGUCACCUAAAUUUGAAAUGAAGAGUUUCAAGUGUAGGCCUAAAGUAGUCGAAAAGUUACAACAACGAAGAUGAAGCGACGAGUGAUACGGAUUAGAGAUUAUGAGUGAGAGAUCACGAAGAAUCAUAAAGCUAGUGCGUAAAGCAAAGAGCGUUU
rnacentral:misc_RNA from 1 species